rnacentral:rRNA from 1 species
UGGGGAAUAUUGGACAAUGGGCGAAAGCCUGAUCCAGCCAUGCCGCGUGUGUGAAGAAGGUCUUCGGAUUGUAAAGCUCUUUAAGUUGGGAGGAAGGGCAGUAAGCGAAUAUCUUGCUGUUUUGAUGUUACCUACAGAAUAAGUACCGGCUAACUCUGUGCCAGCAGCCGCGGUACUACAGAGGGUGCAAGCGUUAAUCGGAAUUACUGGGCGUAAAGCGCGCGUAGGUGGUUCGUUACGUUGAAUGUGAAAGCCCCGGGCUCAGCCUGGGUAAUUCUUUCAGAACUGGCGAGCUAGAGUAGGGCAGAGGGUGGGGGAAUUUUCUGUGCAUCAGUGAAAUGCGUAGAUAUUGGAAGGAAAACCAGUGGCGAAGGCGACCACCUGGGCUCAAACUGACACGGAGGUGCGAAGGAGUGGGGAUCAAACAGG